GCGUUGGUGGUUCAGUGGUAGAAUUCUUGCCUGCCAAGUAGGAGGCCCGGGUUCGAUUCCCGGCCAUUGCA